ACGAACGCUGGCGGCGUGCUUCACACAUGCAAGUCGAACGUGAUUUUUGUGGAAAUUCUUUCGGGAAUGGAAAUGAAAUGAAAGUGGCGAACGGGUGAGUAACACGUGAGCAACCUACCUUACACAGGGGGAUAGCCGUUGGAAACGACGAUUAAUACCGCAUGAGACCACAGAAUCGCAUGAUAUAGGGGUCAAAGAUUUAUCGGUGUAAGAAGGGCUCGCGUCUGAUUAGCUAGUUGGAAGGGUAAAGGCCUACCAAGGCGACGAUCAGUAGCCGGUCUGAGAGGAUGAACGGCCACAUUGGAACUGAGACACGGUCCAAACUCCUACGGGAGGCAGCAGUGGGGAAUAUUGCACAAUGGGGGGAACCCUGAUGCAGCGACGCCGCGUGAGCGAAGAAGGUUUUCGAAUCGUAAAGCUCUGUCCUAUGAGAAGAUAAUGACGGUAUCAUAGGAGGAAGCCCCGGCUAAAUACGUG
rnacentral:rRNA from 1 species